rnacentral:rRNA from 1 species
AUGAACGCUGGCGGCGUGCCUAAUACCUGCAAGUCGAGCGAACAGACGAGGAGCUUGCUCCUUUGACGUUAGCGGCGGACGGGUGAGUAACACGUGGGUAACCUACCUAUAAGACUGGGAUAACUUCGGGAAACCGGAGCUAAUACCGGAUAAUAUUUCGAACCGCAUGGUUCGAUAGUGAAAGAUGGCUUUGCUAUCACUUAUAGAUGGACCUGCGCCGUAUUAGCUAGUUGGUAAGGUAACGGCUUACCAAGGCAACGAUACGUAGCCGACCUGAGAGGGUGAUCGGCCACACUGGAACUGAGACACGGUCCAGACUCCUACGGGAGGCAGCAGUAGGGAAUCUUCCGCAAUGGGCGAAAGCCUGACGGAGCAACGCCGCGUGAGUGAUGAAGGUCUUCGGAUCGUAAAACUCUGUUAUUAGGGAAGAACAAACGUGUAAGUAACUGUGCACGUCUUGACGGUACCUAAUCAGAAAGCCACGGCUAACUACGUG